AGCGAACGCUGGCGGCAGGCCUAACACAUGCAAGUCGAACGGACCCUUCGGGGUUAGUGGCGGACGGGUGAGUAACACGUGGGAACGUGCCCUUAGGUUCGGAACAACACAGGGAAACUUGUGCUAAUACCGGAUGUGCCCUUCGGGGGAAAGAUUUAUCGCCUUUGGAGCGGCCCGCGUCUGAUUAGCUAGUUGGUGAGGUAAAGGCGCACCAAGGCGACGAUCAGUAGCUGGUCUGAGAGGAUGGCCAGCCACAUUGGGACUGAGACACGGCCCAAACUCCUACGGGAGGCAGCAGUGGGGAAUCUUGCGCAAUGGGCGAAAGCCUGACGCAGCCAUGCCGCGUGGAUGAUGAAGGUCUUAGGAUUGUAAAAUCCUUUCAGCGGGGACGAUAAUGACGGUACCCGCAGAAGAAGCCCCGGCUAACUUCGUGCCAGCCGCCGCGGUAAAAC
rnacentral:rRNA from 1 species